rnacentral:rRNA from 1 species
UACGUAGGGUGCAAGCGUUAAUCGGAAUUACUGGGCGUAACGCGUGCGCAGGCGGCUUUGCAAGUCAGAUGUGAAAUCCCCGGGCUUAACCUGGGAACUGCAUUUGUGACUGCAUGGCUGGAGUGCGGCAGAGGGGGAUGGAAUUCCGCGUGUAGCAGUGAAAUGCGUAGAUAUGCGGAGGAACACCGAUGGCGAAGGCAAUCCCCUGGGCCUGCACUGACGCUCAUGCACGAAAGCGUGGGGAGCAAAAAGG